GAACGGGUGAGUAACACGUGAGUAACCUGCCCUUGACUCUGGGAUAAGCGUUGGAAACGACGUCUAAUACCGGAUAUGAACCGUGGAGGCAUCUCCUGCGGUUGGAAAGAACUUCGGUCAAGGAUGGACUCGCGGCCUAUCAGGUAGUUGGUGAGGUAACGGCUCACCAAGCCGACGACGGGUAGCCGGCCUGAGAGGGUGACCGGCCACACUGGGACUGAGACACGGCCCAGACUCCUACGGGAGGCAGCAGUGGGGAAUAUUGCACAAUGGGCGAAAGCCUGAUGCAGCAACGCCGCGUGAGGGACGACGGCCUUCGGGUUGUAAACCUCUUUUAGCAGGGAAGAAGCGAAAGUGACGGUACCUGCAGAAAAAGCACCGGCUAACUACGUGCCAGCAGCCGCGGUAAUACGUAGGGUGCAAGCGUUGUCCGGAAUUAUUGGGCGUAAAGAGCUCGUAGGCGGUUUGUCGCGUCUGCUGUGAAAACGCGAGGCUCAACCUCGCGCCUGCAGUGGGUACGGGCAGACUAGAGUGCGGUAGGGGAGAUUGGAAUUCCUGGUGUAGCGGUGGAAUGCGCAGAU
rnacentral:rRNA from 1 species